rnacentral:rRNA from 1 species
AUAUUGGACAAUGGGCGCAAGCCUGAUCCAGCCAUGCCGCGUGAGUGAUGAAGGCCCUAGGGUUGUAAAGCUCUUUCGGCGGGGACGAUAAUGACGGUUCCCGCAGAAGAAGCCCCGGCUAACUUCGUUCCAGCAGCCGCGGUAAUACGAAGGGGGCUAGCGUUGUUCGGAAUCACUGGGCGUAAAGCGCACGCAGGCGGAUCGUUAAGUCAGGGGUGAAAUCCCGAGGCUCAACCUCGGAACUGCCUCUGAUACUGGCGAUCUUGAGUCCGGGAGAGGUGAGUGGAACUGCGAGUGUAGAGGUGAAAGUCGUAGAUAUUCGCAAGAACACCAGUGGCGAAGGCGGCUCACUGGCCCGGUACUGACGCUCAGGUGCGAAAGCGUGGGGAGCAAACAGG